rnacentral:rRNA from 1 species
UACGGAGGAUGCAAGCGUUAUCCGGAAUGAUUGGGCGUAAAGCGUCCGCAGGUGGCGAUGUAAGUCUGCUGUUAAAGAGUGAGGCUCAACCUCAUAAGAGCAGUGGAAACUACAUAGCUAGAGUACGUUCGGGGCAGAGGGAAUUCCUGGUGUAGCGGUGAAAUGCGUAGAGAUCAGGAAGAACACCAGUGGCGAAGGCGCUCUGCUAGGCCGCAACUGACACUCAUGGACGAAAGCUAGGGGAGCGAAUGGG